GCUUCCAUAGCUCAGUUGGCCAGAGCACGUGAUUUGUAAUCUCGGGGUCGUGGGUUCGAAUCCCUCUGGAAGCUCUA
rnacentral:tRNA from 1 species